AGGUCUGAGGCCGUUCAGCAAAGGAAGUGGCACAGCGGGAACCCGAAUUCAGAAAAGUCCAGCACCAAAGCCUCAAGAAUAGGUCGCCACCCGGAACAGGACUCUGCAGCCCCUGAGGAAGAUAGACUCCUAAAAUCUGAUGGAGAGAUCCUCCUAAGUCUGUACUUGCUAUGGAAAAGAACAAAAGGAUGAAAUUAGUCAUCGCUGUAUAGCUACUUUUAAAAAUCUAUUUUACUGAAGAAUAACUUAAUGUACAAAAACUUAAUUCCA